rnacentral:rRNA from 1 species
UACGUAGGGGGCAAGCGUUAUCCGGAUUUACUGGGUGUAAAGGGAGCGUAGACGGCAGUGCAAGUCUGAAGUGAAAGGCGGGGGCCCAGCCCCCGGACUGCUUUGGAAACUGUGCUGCUGGAGUGCAGGAGAGGUAAGCGGAAUUCCUAGUGUAGCGGUGAAAUGCGUAGAUAUUAGGAGGAACACCAGUGGCGAAGGCGGCUUACUGGACUGUAACUGACGUUGAGGCUCGAAAGCGUGGGGAGCAAACAGG